rnacentral:rRNA from 1 species
GACGAACGCUGGCGGCGUGCUUAACACAUGCAAGUCGAACGCUGAAGCUCAGCUUUUGUUGGGUGGAUGAGUGGCGAACGGGUGAGUAACACGUGAGUAACCUGCCCCCUUCUUUGGGAUAACGCCCGGAAACGGGUGCUAAUACUGGAUAUUCACUGGUCUUCGCAUGGGGGUUGGUGGAAAGGGUUUUUCUGGUGGGGGAUGGGCUCGCGGCCUAUCAGCUUGUUGGUGGGGUGAUGGCCUACCAAGGCUUUGACGGGUAGCCGGCCUGAGAGGGUGACCGGUAACAUUGGGACUGAGCUACGGCCCAGACUCCUACGGGAGGCAGCAGUGGGGAAUAUUGCACAAUGGGCGCAAGCCUGAUGCAGCGACGCCGCGUGAGGGAUGGAGGCCUUCGGGUUGUGAACCUCUUUCGCUCAUGGUCAAGCCGCAACAAUGGUUGUGGUGAGGGUAGUGGGUAAAGAAGCGCCGGCUAACUACGU